GAGUUUGAUCAUGGCUCAGAGCGAACGCUGGCGGCAGGCUUAACACAUGCAAGUCGAGCGGGCGUAGCAAUACGUCAGCGGCAGACGGGUGAGUAACACGUGGGAACGUACCUUUUGGUUCGGAACAACUGAGGGGAAACUUCAGCUAAUACCGGAUAAGCCCUAACGGGGAAAGAUUUAUCGCCGAAAGAUCGGCCCGCGUCUGAUUAGCUAGUUGGUGAGGUAAUGGCUCACCAAGGCGACGAUCAGUAGCUGGUCUGAGAGGAUGAUCAGCCACACUGGGACUGAGACACGGCCCAGACUCCUACGGGAGGCAGCAGUGGGGAAUAUUGGACAAUGGGGGCAACCCUGAUCCAGCCAUGCCGCGUGAGUGAUGAAGGCCCUAGGUUGUAAAGCUCUUUUGUGCGGGAAGAUAAUGACGGUACCGCAAGAAUAAGCCCCGACUAACUUCGUGCCAGCGCCGCUGU
rnacentral:rRNA from 1 species